UUCAGAUAGUCUUUUGGUAACUGACGGCGCUCGGCCGGCUUUUCCACCGUCUCCGCGACUCUUUUGGCGGUGCUUGCUCGGCUGCUCCGCCGCCGGCGCCGCACGGACCGCCGUCUUGCGCCGCUGGCCUUUGCCGCUACACAGCCUUCCCAUUUCCCCUGCCCAUCGGACGCUGGAUGCUCUGCCGUCGGGAUGCCUGGACCAGUCGCCACCUCGCCGCUCUCUGCCCGCCAGACACCUGACUGGGUGGCGCUGCGCAGCCACCACAGUAUCUACCGCCGGUGCUAGAGAGGGAACCAGGCGUCCGUUGGCUGGACACGGUGAUCCAGCCCCAUCUAGCACCGACGGGGGACUUCGCCUCCGCCAUUCGCUGGUCCUCCUGUGCACACCACCUGCUCGACCAAAUGCCCCGCUAGACCAGGGAAGCUGAUUCCAUGUCCUUCCUGGCAUCUGGCCGUGCCCGCCUCCUCCGGGGCAUCUCCAGUCACCGGCCACCACAGCAAGGACGCUACACCACAUGCUUCCGGCGUUACAAGGCGCAUUUCUUGCUUGACGGAAUCGAGGAUGCAGCGGAGAGCGCUGCCGGAUCGCAGGAACCACCGGUGUCUCUGGCGAAGAGCCUGGCCUCUCUCGCUGAGGAGUCAACCAUUGCUGCUCAGAGGCAGCGGAAGCCCCUGUCCCGGAUGGAGCGGAAGAGGCUGGCCGAGCUCCGGAUAAAAAAGAGGGUCAAGGCGCAGUAUUUGAACGGCAAGUUUUACGAUCUCAUGGGUAAGGUGGUGGCUAGUGCCGAUACGUUGGAGGAUGCUUACGACAUUGUCCGGCUGAAUUCUAAUGUCGAUCUGGCGUCUCCAAGGGACGAUGUUUGCUUCAUCGCAUUGGCUGAGCAGCUCAGAAGCGGAGAGUUUGAUAUCGCUGUGAAUUCUUUCUCAGUAGCUGCAAAGAGGCAAGGAGGAGAGCGCAUUGUUCUUCCACGGCUCAACUUGAAAGUUAUCCAGGAAGCAGUUAGGGUGGUGCUUGAGGUUGUUUACAGGCCUCAGUUCUCCAAGAUAUCACAUGGUUGUCGGAGUGGGCGAGGAUAUCACUCAGCUCUGAGGUUCAUAUCCACUGAAAUUGGGUUUCCAGAUUGGUGCUUUACUGUCCCUUUGUACAAGGAGGUGGAUAGUGAUGUGGUCUUGAAGCUUAUUUCACAAAUACAGGAAAAGAUCGUUGAUGACCAGUUAGUGGCAUUCAUGCAAGAUAUGUUUGAUGCCGAGGUGAUCAAUUUGGUAUUUGGAGGGUUUCCCAAGGGCCAUGGAGUUCCUCAAGAAGGAGUACUUGCACCAAUCCUGAUGAAUAUUUAUCUUGACAGUUUUGACCAUGAAGUAUUUAGGAUUUGCAUGAAACAUGAAGGCCUUUAUUCAGGGGCAAAAAAUGUUACAGACAACCAGGGCUCCAAGUUGCGUCACUGGUUUAGAAGUCAAAUGAAGGAUGGGGAUCUAAAUAAUGAAGAUCAAACAGAGGGCCAGCCAAACGUGAGAUUAUAUGCUUGCAGAUACAUGGAUGAGAUUUUUGUUGCAGUUGUGGGGUCCAGAGACAUAGCAGAAACUGUAAAGUCUGAAGUUGUUGAUUACUUAAGCAAAUCGCUUUACCUGAAAGUUGAUGAUGGAUUGUGUCUUGUGCCAGUAAAAAAGGACUCUUGGGGGUUGCAGUUUGCUGGCACCGUAGUUAAGGCCGCAACAAAAGAAAGUGCUGCGCUGAAAACUGUUCACAAGCUGAAGGAGAAGGUCCGUUUAUUUGCUUGUCAGAAGCAAGAGAUAUGGGAUGCUAUGAAUCUUAGGUUAGGAAAGAAGUGGUUGGCAUAUGGUUUGAGGAGGGUAAAGGAGUCUGAGAUCAAGUCACUUGGUCUCAGUACUCCGUUGCUGGAUCACAUUGCACAAUUUAGGAAAGAGGGCAUGAAGACAGAUCAUUGGUUCAAAACUUUACUCAAGGUAUGGAUGCAGGACAUCAAUGCCAAAAAUGAAGCUAAUGAGGAGGUGCUCCUGUCAAAAUACAUUGCUGAACCAGCACUUCCGCAGGAACUCAGAGAUGCUUUUAACAACUUUCAGAAGCAAGCUAAUGAUUAUAUCUCAUCAGAAACUGCUGCUACAGAAGCACUGUUGUCCAGCUUGAAGAAUAAGGAAUCAAUGUAUACCUGCCCUGAUGAUGCUGCCAUUAAGAUUUAUGCGCCUCUUAGUUAUAUCAAGAAGUGCCUCAAUCGCUAUGGUGUAACUAAUCUUGAAGGUUUCCCUAAACAUGUUUCAGCCCUUGUUUUGCAAGAUGAUGAGCUAAUCAUAAGUUGGUUUGCAGGAAUAAUUCAUCGUUGGGUAAGAUGGUUCUCUGAGGUUGACAAUUUUAAAGAGCUUCAACUUAUGUUAGUUGAAUGUGUCAGGAAAUCUUGCAUUCGGACACUAUCUGCAAAGUACCGAAUGUACGAAAAAUUGACAGAAAAGCGGUUUGAACUUGAUGAUUAUGGCAUUCCAAUGGUCGAGGACUUUGAGGCAAUGAUAGCACAGCUAGAACCUAGUUCUUCCUCAGUUUCCGCUGAUGAAGCUCUGACGUAUGGCAUUUCUAGUAGUGGCUUAUGUGUGCUCACCCUCUCAAGAGUUAGAGUCCCUGCUCGGAAAUUCAACUGCUUUGUCAUGGGCUGCCAAUCUUCAUCACCAAGUUUGUACAUUAUUCAUGUGAAGGAGAAACAGCGGUUUCCAGGAUGGAGGACAGGUUUCUCAUCAUCAAUUCAUGGGAGUUUAAAUGGCAGACGAAUUGGGUUGUGUACCCAACAUGUUAAAGAUCUAUAUCUAGGGCAAAUCUCCCUUCAGUCAGUUGAUUUUGGUGUGCUGAUUAGAUGACUAUAAGAUGACCCUGAGGUUUUCAGUUUGAGAAUAUUGUUCCCUUUUAUUUUUUUGCAAAUUUUAGCUGCUCCCAUGAUUCUCUGAAAUAAUUUCUUUUGCAAAGUAAAUUUACUGUUUUAGAUUAAUUGACCAUUAUUUCAAGAAGCACACAUGUCACAUGUGCAAAGAGUAUUGGAAGAUUUAUAAACUCUGUCCAAAAUUUCAAAAGUGCCUCUACAAAUUCAGAAAGUAUAUUUGUAUUUUGAGGGAAACAUUGCUUUAACCUGAUGCAUCUCUAUUCUGAAUCUCCGUAAACUAAGUUCAUUAGCUGCCCUCUUCUAAUCACAAUGACUCUCUACUGCUAUUAAGUAUUAACACUUACUUGCUCGAGACUUCCCUUCAGGAAUCGGUGAGCUAGAAAACUUUGGUGCCAUCGUGCAAGUCUGGCCAAGCUUUGGGUGCUCUGUAUGUGUCACUUUGAUGACAUGAAACUUCUCAUAUUCUUUCUCAAUGGUUUCUUCAAUCAGGCUGCUCUCUAAGUUUCCUUUGUGCCUGGGGUGUUCCUGGGCUUUCUGUAUCAUUUACAUCUUGUAGGGUCCCAUGAUUAAACUGUACUGAAUGUUCAGUGACGAUUUUAAACUUGGACUUGCUGAAUUUUCCUUCAGGGUCAUGGUCACGGCACUCUGAUUCCAAGAGGCUGGACGUUUGCUGUUCCAAGGUCAUGAAUUACAUGACCAUCCAAGUUCAAUCAAUAACUAUGCUGCUGGCAAAGAAGGCAUCAAGGGUUCACCGCCAUGAGGGUCCGCCAAUUGUUUUAGUCGCUCUCAAGGAUUAUCAGCCAUAGCAAUGCCAUCCCACCUGGAUAAGGACCCAGGUUGUCACCAAGGCCACAUAGCUAAGUGCAAAACAUGUUUGGAAGAGCAAAGAGUGGGCACGCAUAAAUUAGAUGUCACCUGGAUCUGUUUAGAAGAACGAUGAUAAAGGAGAAGAUGACAAAAUAAUUUCGAUCACACGUACAGAGUCACAGUACAGUACACCCACGGGUCGGUGGGUGGAAAUAGUCCAAAUAGUGUGUCUACCACACGGUACGUCAAAUAGUGCAAGUAGGACCAACCGUGUGUGUCUGUGUGGUACCAAGGCAAAUACAGCUAACUGGAAAGAUGCUACCUACUGGAGGUCACUUCUAAUUUGGAGCGUUCUUAUCGCCAAUGGUUUCUUCCUCCUUCAUCAGGCCUAUGGAACUCUGAGCAACGCCGGCCUGAGCUGCCAUCAAAUUUGCAAGUUGGGCGACCUCCCGUUUGCCGGAGUGAUGGA